GGAUGGAGGGCUGUCUGGCUGCGACAUCUGCCCCAGGAAACUGAUCGGGAGUUGAUUCGACUGAUCUGACUGGCUAGGCCGGUGUCCCCCUCCUCCCCACCGAUCCAUGUGCAUCCCUCCCGAAUCUGCGCUCCGUGGAAGAGGACGUCCUUCCCCCCAGAAGAGAGGACCGGUCUUCCGUCAGCGGUAAGGAGUAGCUGCGCCCCCGAGAGAACCUCCCAGCACCUCAAGAAGCAUGUGUCUUUCU
rnacentral:snRNA from 1 species